AGGACGAACGCUGGCGGCGUGCUUAACACAUGCAAGUCGAACGAGGUGCUUCGGCAUUUAGUGGCGAACGGGUGAGUAACACGUGAGCAACCUGCCCUUGGCUCUGGGAUAGCCUCCAGAAACGGGGAUUAAUACCGGACAUGACCUGCUCCUGCAUGGGGGCGGGUGGAAAGUUUUUCGGCCAGGGAGGGGCUCGCGGCCUAUCAGCUUGUUGGGGGGGUAACGGCCCACCAAGGCGACGACGGGUAGCCGGCCUGAGAGGGCGACCGGCCACACUGGGACUGAGACACGGCCCAGACUCCUACGGGAGGCAGCAGUGGGGAAUAUUGCACAAUGGGGGAAACCCUGAUGCAGCGACGCCGCGUGCGGGAUGAAGGCCUUCGGGUUGUAAACCGCUUUCAGCAGGGACGAACCUAGACGGUACCUGCAGAAGAAGCGCCGGCUAACUACGCGCCAGCAGCCGC
rnacentral:rRNA from 1 species